rnacentral:piRNA from 1 species
UAAAGAAGCUGCAACACCUCUUAGGCC